rnacentral:rRNA from 1 species
AAGCAACGCGAAGAACCUUACCUAGACUUGACAUCUCCUGAAUUACCCGUUAACUGGGGAAGCUCUUCGGAGCAGGAAGACAGGUGGUGCAUGGUUGUCGUCAGCUCGUGUCGUGAGAUGUUGGGUUAAGUCCCGCAACGAGCGCAACCCUUAUCGUUAGUUGCUACCAUUAAGUUGAGCACUCUAGCGAGACUGCCCGGGUUAACCGGGAGGAAGGUGGGGAUGACGUCAAAUCAUCAUGCCCCUUAUGUCUAGGGCUACACACGUGCUACAAUGGUGAGGACAAAGAGACGCAAGACCGCGAGGUGGAGCAAAUCUCACAAACCUCAUCCCAGUUCGGAUUGCAGGCUGAAACUCGCCUGCAUGAAGCCGGAGUUGCUAGUAAUCGCGAAUCAGCAUGUCGCGGUGAAUACGUUCCCGGGCCUU